GAAAUAAAGGAAAAGAAUGUCUUGCUAAAUCAACAAAGCUGCUGUAUCAUUGUUCAUUUGGCCAGGCAAUUCCUCAUGGACCAGUAAUAAGCUUCAGCUCGGCCAAACCCAUUUUUGAUAGCAAUCAAGAUGAUUUACCAUUUAAAGUAUUCAGCACUUCUAAGACCUGGUUGAGGAGUUCACGAACAGCAGGCAGAGCUGGGCAGAAGAGAUCAAGACAGACGGGACCUCAGCGAUCAUGGGUUCCAGCCUUUUCCUUUCACAGGCCUUGAGCUUCCUUUUUUCUUCUCGCUGUGGAAAUUGCCUGGAAAGCUAUGAACUGUUGGUUCUUGGAUCAGUUGGCUGCCCCGGAUGUCUGAAUCCCUUGGAAGGAACCUGGAGGAGUUGGCUGAUGGGCUCCAGGUGCUACCGGAUCACUCUAACAACCCUCUGGGACCUGUGGCCAUGUGUUCACAACAGCAGCCAUUACAGGUGUUUCCUGAACUCUUGUCACGAGCCUCUCUGUCGGCUCCAUCUCAUCGAUCCUCCCAGCAACCCACAAGGAAGGAGAGGUUUCUUUACAGAUGAGGAAACUGGGGCGUUUGGCUAAAGUUGUUGAUUUGCCAGAGUCCCACAGCAGUGGGUGAGUUGGGACAAGAACUCGAUGGCCUGCUGGGUAGUGAGGACUGUGCAGAAUAGUCUGGGUUUGGGGAACCCUGUGGGGCACAUGUGUGAGGCUCGCUGCAUGUUGCAUUCGCUGGCCCUUCUGGAUCUCCCUUGGGGUCCCCAGGAGUCC
rnacentral:lncRNA from 1 species